GGAGGGAGCGAGCGUUGCCCGGAAUUACUGGGCGUAAAGGGGAUGUAGGCGGAUCAGUAAGUCGGAUGUGAAAUCUGUGGGCUCAACUCACAGACCGUGUCCGAUACUGCUGAUCUUGAGCACGGGAGAGGAGAGUGGAACUCCCAGUGUAGCGGUGGAAUGCGUAGAUAUUGGGAGGAACACCAGUGGCGAAGGCGGCUCUCUGGCCCGUUGCUGACGCUGAGGUCCGAAAGCUGGGGGGGGAGCGAACAGGAUUAGAUACCCUGGUAGUCCCAGCCCCUAAACGAUGGGCACUAGGUGUAGGUCCCAACGGAUCUGUGCCGAAGCUAACGCAUUAAGUGCCCCCGCCUGGGAGUACGGUCGCAAGGCUG
rnacentral:rRNA from 1 species